rnacentral:rRNA from 1 species
GAUGAACGCUAGCGGCAGGCCUAACACAUGCAAGUCGAGCGGGAUUAAUUGGUAGCUUGCUACUGAUUACGAGAGCGGCGCACGGGUGCGUAACGCGUAUGCAACCUACCCUGUACUGAGGGAUAGCCCAGAGAAAUUUGGAUUAACCCCUCAUAGUAUUAUUGAGAGGCAUCUUUUGAUAAUUAAAGGUUACGGUACAGGAUGGGCAUGCGUCCUAUUAGCUAGUUGGUACGGUAACGGCGUACCAAGGCGACGAUAGGUAGGGGGCCUGAGAGGGUGGUCCCCCACACUGGUACUGAGACACGGACCAGACUCCUACGGGAGGCAGCAGUGAGGAAUAUUGGUCAAUGGGCGCAAGCCUGAACCAGCCAUGCCGCGUGCAGGAAGAAUGCCCUAUGGGUUGUAAACUGCUUUUAUUUGGGAAUAAACCUCCUUACGUGUAGGGAGCUGAAGGUACCAAAUGAAUAAGCACCGGCUAACUCCGUGCCAGCCGCCGCUGUAAAAC